CAGCAGCCGCGGUAACACGUAGGGCGCAAGCGUUAUCCGGAAUUAUUGGGCAUAAAGAGCUCGUAGGCGGUUUGUCGCGUCUGCCGUGAAAGUCCGGGGCUCAACCCCGGAUCUGCGGUGGGUACGGGCAGACUAGAGUGAUGUAGGGGAGACUGGAAUUCCUGGUGUAGCGGUGAAAUGCGCAGAUAUCAGGAGGAACACCGAUGGCGAAGGCAGGUCUCUGGGCAUUAACUGACGCUGAGGAGCGAAAGCAUGGGGAGCGAACAGGAUUAGAUACCCCCGUAGUCCCUGUCUCUUUACA
rnacentral:rRNA from 1 species